rnacentral:rRNA from 1 species
CCUACGGGGGGCAGCAGUGGGGAAUAUUGGACAAUGGGCGAAAGCCUGAUCCAGCCAUGCCGCGUGUGUGAAGAAGGCCUUCGGGUUGUAAAGCACUUUCAGUGGGGAAGAAAGCCUUGGGGCUAAUACCCUCGAGGAAGGACAUCACCCACAGAAGAAGCACCGGCUAACUCCGUGCCAGCAGCCGCGGUAAUACGGAGGGUGCGAGCGUUAAUCGGAAUUACUGGGCGUAAAGCGCGCGUAGGCGGUCUGAUAAGCCGGUUGUGAAAGCCCCGGGCUCAACCUGGGAACGGCAUCCGGAACUGUCAGGCUAGAGUGCAGGAGAGGAAGGUAGAAUUCCCGGUGUAGCGGUGAAAUGCGUAGAGAUCGGGAGGAAUACCAGUGGCGUAGGCGGCCUUCUGGACUGACACUGACGCUGAGGUGCGAAAGCGUGGGUAGCAAACAGGAUUAGAUACCCGAGUAGUC